CUUUGAGUCAUAGCAGUGAAAAAGCUGACUGAAACAGUGGGUGAAGUUUAAACUCAGCUUGGCACAUGAGGCCCCUGUGGCCUCUUCCCUGCCUGCUUCCCAGCCUCCCUGCCUGCUAUGUUUCCUAAAGUGUUCCCUCUGGACCAGCACCCCCUGGCAACUUGUUAGACAUAUGAACUCUGGGGCUCUACACCAGACCUGCUGACCACAAACUCAGCGGUGGGUGCGGGCCAGCAGCCUGCACUUUAAAGCCCCACAGGAGAUGCUGACAGGCACUGAAGUUCCAGAACUUCACACUGAAUACCCUUUACUGCAGCCAGAUCACGCUCCCCUCGCCUCUAGGCCUUUACUUGCACUAGUUCCUCUGGCUGAAUGCCUUCACCUUCCUUAACUCCUCUUUGUCCUUUCAGAGUCAGCUUAGGCUAUUCAGGGCCUUCCUCCACGUUCUUUUGUAUUUCAUGAUGAUCCUGGGAUACCUUUGGUGUGGCAAAAACCAACGCCUGAUCAUGACAGAUUCCCCCAGCACAAGCCUCUCAGGAAGGAACUCUCCUUCCAYACACACACAGGGGAGGCGUCCUAAUGUGCGGAAUUUGGAGAAUGGGUUUUCUAACCAGAAGAGUGUGCAGAGGCUCAGAGGUGAAGGCUACAUGAACAGGAAGGAACAGGGCAAAGAGAGAAAACGGAAUGCAGACAGUGAGCACACCUUUCAGUGAAGAGCCUCUCCCAUCUCUAGGCACAGCCUCAGUAAAAUUGAGGACAGCUCAGCGACUGUAUGGAAGCCACCCUUCAGCACCCUUCCUCCCAACCCCACAGCCCAACUACAGAAUGAGUUCGGAGCUGCCUGUGACUGCCAGGCUGCUCUUCCCUCCAUGGGCCAUGGGGCUGUGUCUACCACCAAUCUGAAAGUGUGUCAAGCCCCACAUCCCUGUCCCUGUCCCUGUCCCUGCCUGGGUUGCUGGCACAGAGAUUGCCACUCAGAGGCAGGUGCUGGGAAGCAUCUGAGUGACAGCAGGGAAGGGCUCUUWAAGCCUGGGUCCUGGAACCUUCGGCUUUGGCUUUGGUUUUCACCCGUYCCCAACACACCCACUGUGAUCUGAAUCGGAUCUUGAGGGGGAGGGAGGGCUUCAGGACUCCUCCAUCAGCCAUUAUCGGGUAUCCACGGAGGGUCAGCCUGCUCCAGAGGCAGUCUACUGCCUGGCAUAGAAAAAUAAAUCAGUGUAUGAAACCAAGCCAAGGCAAACAGCAGCUUUUAAAAAGUCAUCUUCCAAUAAAUAAUUUACUACAGAGGAGUAUUUUCCUUUAACAGCAAAACACUGAUAAAUUCAGAAGUUAUUUUUGUAAAAAAAAUAUCUGUUUAUUUACUCACAUGUAUAAAAAUAAGGUUUUAGGGCCAUCCUCUCCUGGGUGUGGUCCUGCCCUUCUUUUGGAGAGGGGGCCAAGGGGGCCUUGAAGGCCUUACCCGUAAGCUCUACCCUCUUCCCACCUGCCUGCCGCAGCCCCUCCCUUCUGGUGUACUACAGAGGAAACGGUUUGUUUUGUUUUAUUUCUAUAGUUUACCAAACUUCCCAGCCAACCUGCUGAGUGCAUUUCCCCAAUUGCCAACUUCUGACACCAGCACCCUGCAGCCAGUGGCCACCUGCUGCACAAGCUGGCCCCAGGCUCAGGCCACACUCCUGCCACCUCCUCCACAAGACGUGGUGUGUGACAGUGAAGGGAAGAGGUGAACGGGGUAGGAGUGGCCCAGUACCUGGUGCAGGGACAAAGAAUUUUACUGUCAAAUUAGGGUGGGAAAGGGAAAACAAAAAAGACCCAAUCCAGAAACAAAAACAUCAUUAGACAUUUGCAAAAAGUCAUCCAAACCAAGCCUUUAGAAAGCCUGGGCUGGGCCUCCACUCAUGCAGAGGAGGGGCAGACAGCACACAGAGGAGCAGCUGCCCGGGCAACGAGGCAACACUCUGGGUGCCAGGCUGGGCAUGCGGUGCGCUCUGGCCAGAACACAAAGGACAUCACCCUGUAAGCUCUCAGUUAUGUGACYUUCUUUCUUUUCCUCUGUUUUGCCAAACGUGUCUGUGUGUGUACACACAGAAGAACCGACUGGCAAUUCCAGACAGAGACAGAGACA